GGAAAGAUGGCUGAGCUGGUCGAAGGCGCACGAUUGGAAAUCGUGUAACGGAUGAAACCGUUCAAGGGUUCGAAUCCCUUUCUUUCCGCCA
rnacentral:tRNA from 1 species